rnacentral:rRNA from 1 species
UGCAGUCGAGCGAACAGAUAAGGAGCUUGCUCCUUUGACGUUAGCGGCGGACGGGUGAGUAACACGUGGGUAACCUACCUAUAAGACUGGGAUAACUUCGGGAAACCGGAGCUAAUACCGGAUAACAUUUGGAACCGCAUGGUUCUAAAGUGAAAGAUGGUUUUGCUAUCACUUAUAGAUGGACCCGCGCCGUAUUAGCUAGUUGGUAAGGUAACGGCUUACCAAGGCAACGAUACGUAGCCGACCUGAGAGGGUGAUCGGCCACACUGGAACUGAGACACGGUCCAGACUCCUACGGGAGGCAGCAGUAGGGAAUCUUCCGCAAUGGGCGAAAGCCUGACGGAGCAACGCCGCGUGAGUGAUGAAGGGUUUCGGCUCGUAAAACUCUGUUAUUAGGGAAGAACAAAUGUGUAAGUAACUGUGCACAUCUUGACGGUACCUAAUCAGAAAGCCACGGCUAACUACGUGCCAGCAGCCGCGGUAAUACGUAGGUGGCAAGCGUUAUCCGGAAAUUAUUGGGCGUAAAGCGCGCGUAGGCGGUUUCUUAAGUCUGAUGUGAAAGCCCACGGCUCAACCGUGGAGGGUCAUUGGAAACUGGGAAACUUGAGUGCAGAAGAGGAAAGUGGAAUUCCAUGUGUAGCGGUGAAAUGCGCAGAGAUAUGGAGGAACACCAGUGGCGAAGGCGACUUUCUGGUCUGUAACUGACGCUGAUGUGCGAAAGCGUGGGGAUCAAACAGGAUUAGAUACCCUGGUAGUCCACGCCGUAAACGAUGAGUGCUAAGUGUUAGGGGGUUUCCGCCCCUUAGUGCUGCAGCUAACGCAUUAAGCACUCCGCCUGGGGGAGUACGACCGCAAGGUUGAAACUCAAAGGAAUUGACGGGGACCCGCACAAGCGGUGGAGCAUGUGGUUUAAUUCGAAGCAACGCGAAGAACCUUACCAAAUCUUGACAUCCUUUGAAAACUCUAGAGAUAGAGCCUUCCCCUUCGGGGGACAAAGUGACAGGUGGUGCAUGGUUGUCGUCAGCUCGUGUCGUGAGAUGUUGGGUUAAGUCCCGCAACGAGCGCAACCCUUAAGCUUAGUUGCCAUCAUUAAGUUGGGCACUCUAGGUUGACUGCCGGUGACAAACCGGAGGAAGGUGGGGAUGACGUCAAAUCAUCAUGCCCCUUAUGAUUUGGGCUACACACGUGCUACAAUGGACAAUACAAAGGGCAGCUAAACCGCGAGGUCAUGCAAAUCCCAUAAAGUUGUUCUCAGUUCGGAUUGUAGUCUGCAACUCGACUACAUGAAGCUGGAAUCGCUAGUAAUCGUAGAUCAGCAUGCUACGGUGAAUACGUUCCCGGGUCUUGUACACACCGCCCGUCACACCACGAGAGUUUGUAACACCCGAAGCCGGUGGAGUAACCAUUUAUGGAGCUAGCCG